rnacentral:tRNA from 1 species
UAGCUCAGAGGUUAGAGCAUCGCAUUUGUAAUGCGAUGGUCAUCGGUUCGACUAUGAU